AUUGAUGGGGAUGGACCUCAUUGGUAAAUUGACACAAACAGAGAGUGGGCAUCAAUACAUUUGUGUAAUGAUCGAUUAUUUCACAAAAUGGCCCCAGGCUUAUCCUUUGAAGUCAAAGGCAGCAAGUGAGGUGUCGCAGUGCAUCAUCAAAUUUGUGCACCAGUUCGAGUCUCCGAAAAGAAUUCUGACUGACCAAGGGAAAGAAUUUGUCAAUGCCAUCAAUUCAAGAGUAUGUGAAUUACUUGGAAUAAAGCGAAGCCUAUGUUCACCUUACCACCCCCAGACAAAUGGUUUGGUUGAAAAGAUGAAUGGGACAGUUCAGAGAGCCCUCAGCAAACUGGUGGGGGAGAGACCGGACAAAUGGGAUGAGUUCCUUGAUGCGGUCAUGUUUGGUCUUCGAACGAAGAAACAGAUGACAACAAAAUACUCCCCCUACUAUUUGAUGUUUGGUCGAGAAGCGCGGUAUCCUUCUCAGAUUCCAGAACACUACAUGGUUGAUGCCACUGUGGAAGCUGUGGUGGGCCAGGAAGAUCUGUCACAGGACAUCAACCACCAGCAGGAGCUAAUGGAGGCUGUAAGGGGCAAUCUUGCCAAAGGCCAUGCAAAAGUAAAAGGCAAAACAAGCCACGUUUCACCAGACUUCAAAGUUGGGGAUAAAGUCUAUAGGGAAAACAUUCGGAGCCAACAGCGAAAAGGAGGAAAGUUGGAAGCCAACUUUUUAGGUCCCUUUACAAUUUUGGCUAUCCAGGGCAAAAGUGUGGACCUGAAGGAUGAAAAAGGGUCCAUUUUCAGAAAGAUAAAUGUGGAUCAGCUAAAGUUAACUGUCGAAGAUGCCCCCAGAGUGCCCCACUGGGGUACAAAAA